ensembl:lncRNA
AAAACAUCUCUUGGGAGAUUUAUUCUGGACGGCUCAGUGUCUGUGCUGGUGGGAGCAGAGCAGAUGCAGCUAAGAGCUCUUGGGUCCCGCGUGUCCUGGAGGAAGUUAGGAAUGCCGAUGAGCUGAAAUGAAAUUGAGAGCUUACUUAUACUUAAAAGAAAAGAAAAGAAAAAAAAAGGAAAAAGAAGAGUUGCCUUUGGCCAGAGAUCAAUCAUGGAAAACUUCAGUCUCAUCAGAGGAUGUUAUGGAAACAUAUGAGGCCAUAAGCAGAUGAUCUGAUCCUGAUCCCACUUAGCUCACAGCUGUUUUACUCCUGCAGUAAUGCCAGUGUCUGCGGUGGUUUUACCCAUGAUGUGCCACUGUAAGCUGAGAUCAGUUUUGGGCUGCGGGUUACAAUGACAUCUGCUUCACAGCCCCUGCAAGAGCAGUUGCCGAUGGGAGAUAAAGAUGUCUAUUGUGGGACUAUUCAUCUGAUUAAGGGCUACAAGACCAUGCCCCAUGGAACUAUAAAUGUUGAGAUAUAAACCUCAGAAUAUACAGAACUUUAAUUGACAUGGAAAUCCUGACUUUCAGUUGUUUAUCUUGACCAAGUGCCUCUGGCCUGCAACAUGCAUUUUGUUUUGGUACUUCAGCCUUCAGGUGCUGGGCUGGAUCCCCAUGAAGUGCAAAUAUCAAUUACAAUUACAUGAAGCUGAUUGGACUAAAUCAUCUGUCCCAUAGAGAGAGAAGAUAUUUAUAACCAUUCAAGGUUCUUGCAGGAAGUGGUAUUUGGGCAGCACAGAGUACAUGUGACCAGUAGGACAACAGUGUUGGAUGUGCAAACAACUCUGAGACUGUGUUUGUUUUCAUCUGCCUUGUGUCACUGUAUCCAUCACUGCCACUGCAGUUAACAACACCAGUUUUCUCUCAUUUUCCAAAGAGACUGGAGGAGAGAACUGCAGUUGCCCGUCUCUCACACGAGAGACAAGGGGAAAUGGCUUCAAACUAAAAGAAAGGAAGAUUUAGAUUUACAAGGAAGAAGGAAGGAAGAAGGAAGGAAGAAGAUUUACAAUGAGGGUGGUGAGGCACGGGCACAGGUUGCCCAGAGAGAUGGUGGAAGCCCUGUUCUUCGAGACACUCAAGAUCAGGCUGCACGGGGCUCUGAGCAACCUAAUCUAGCUGUAGGUGUCCCUGUUCAUUGCAGGGGAGUUGGACUAGAUGACCUUUAAGGAUCCCUUUCAACUCAAAUGAUUCUAUGACUGUAUGCUAUCAUGUUCUUAUCCUCUGGAAGUGAAGAAAAUAAGAGAAAUGGUAUAGCAAAGCUGAUUUUUUUAAUAAUCAUGUGUGCUCUUCAACCACCGAUACAGCUGUACUCAUUUUAAAUUAUGUGGAUUACAGCAUUGAAAAUGACAUUUCUGCCUGUAUAUCUACUUCUCAUGAAUAUUUCUGAGGGAAGAAGUGUCCUCAAACAUGCUGCUCCAAUACUUUGAAGUGCAGAAAUUUAGCAGCUGGUCGUGUAAAAUAAAGUAGCUCAUCUGUACACUUGAGCUGUUGCUUAUCUUGUUCCUCCCUGGGUUUUUCAAGAGCAGCAGUUAGAGGCAGGAUGUUGGGUGAGGUGAACCUUUGGUCUCACCUGCAAAAACUCUUAUAAGGCCCAUAUUUUUAUAAAUACGGUAUCUAGUUCAGAUAUGCAACAUAAUCUGGUCCUCUUCUUCCUCAGCCUGCAUUGUACAGUACCUUCAUGUUUGAACCACAAAAUUAAAUUAUGUUCUGGUAUUUUGUAUACUCUACUCUGAAGAGAACUCCCUGGCAACAACUCUGGUGCUGCAUUUGCAGAUACUGGCUACACCUGUUGAUGCACCUUCCUCGCUGGUUAUCUAAAUGCAAGCAGUCUUUGAGGUAGCUCCUGUUAUAAGUAAAACUUGAAAUGAAAGACAAUUGGGUAACUGUAAAUCAUACUCAAUUUUUAUCAUUCCAGGUCUUGAGGAGGUGAAUUGGGUUAAUUUCUAAG